AGGAAGUAACUAACAAAGGAGAGGUAUUUAUACAAUUUUUUUUCAUAUCAAGAAUAUUUUGAAGGAUCGAUAUUACUCCCUCCCUUCUUGUAUAUAUGUAUGGAUGUACGAUGUCCUUUUCCGUUCAAUUUUUGUUUUCUCCAAAUAUGCUAAUGAAACUGUACUUACUUUUCUGUAGCAAUUGAAAGAUAAAUCAUGUAAUAUUGUUCUAAU
rnacentral:lncRNA from 1 species